GAUGAACGCUAGCUACAGGCUUAACACAUGCAAGUCGAGGGGCAGCAUGAACUUAGCUUGCUAAGUUUGAUGGCGACCGGCGCACGGGUGAGUAACACGUAUCCAACCUGCCGAUGACUCGGGGAUAGCCUUUCGAAAGAAAGAUUAAUACCCGAUGGCAUAGUUCUUCCGCAUGGUAGAACUAUUAAAGAAUUUCGGUCAUCGAUGGGGAUGCGUUCCAUUAGGUUGUUGGCGGGGUAACGGCCCACCAAGCCUUCGAUGGAUAGGGGUUCUGAGAGGAAGGCCCCCCACAUUGGAACUGAGACACGGUCCAAACUCCUACGGGAGGCAGCAGUGAGGAAUAUUGGUCAAUGGACGAGAGUCUGAACCAGCCAAGUAGCGUGAAGGAUGACUGCCCUAUGGGUUGUAAACUUCUUUUAUACGGGAAUAAAGUGAGGCACGUGUGCCUUUUUGUAUGUACCGUAUGAAUAAGGAUCGGCUAACUCCGUG
rnacentral:rRNA from 1 species